rnacentral:rRNA from 1 species
GACGGAGGAUGCAAGUGUUAUCCGGAAUCACUGGGCGUAAAGCGUCUGUAGGCUGUUUAAUAAGUCAACUGUUAAAUCUUGAGGCUCAACUUCAAAAUCGCAGUCGAAACUAUUAGACUAGAGUAUAGUAGGGGUAAAGGGAAUUUCCAGUGGAGCGGUGAAAUGCGUAGAGAUUGGAAAGAACACCAAUAGCGAAGGCACUUUACUGGGCUAUUACUAACACUCUGAGACGAAAGCUAGGGUAGCAAAUGGG